AAUGGUGCCUUGUGGACAGAAGGCGUCAGUGAUCAGACCAAAUCUUUGCUUGCACGUUGCAGAAGUAUCCUCCUGCUCAAGGUGUUCACAGUAAACAGAGGUGUCAUUUAUUCUCUUCUUGGAGCACAGCACUUGCACAGCACUGCUAAAAUGGCUGAGCCAAUCGCUGCUGCAGUUUGCACUGUCUAUUCUAUGGGUUAUUCCGGCUAUUAUUUGACCCAUCUAGCACGUCACCUCACCUAUGGGUGGAGAGAAGCCGAUCCUUCUAGUACAAACCAAACAUCAGCACCUCAUCAGUCUCCCUCUGUUCCUGGAGAAGAGGCCAAAGGGGAGGAAAAUUACAACAACCCGACAGCUGUUGCUGCACCAC